AUUCAUUGACAUAUUUCAAGAAAGAGGCCAAUUAAGGACAUCAUCAUACAUGAUAUCAGGAAUGUUGACACCUAAAUGAUCAUGAGAAUCAAGUGUUGAUGAUAGUGUGACAUCCUUUUCUGGAUCAUCAAAAGUUAGUCCAGAGAGGUAAUCAUUUGAAGAAGGAGGAGGAUGAACAAUCUCUUCCUUGCAAUCCUCCCUUUUCACUGAUGAUGAUGAUGUUGAUGGAUAAGAAGAUGAGAGAAAAGGGCAAUCUUGUUUGGCUGGUGUUGGGAAAGAGUUGUCAAAGCUAAGGAACAUGGAAGACUGGUCACAAGGAGAAUCCAUUAUGAUCUCAGAGCUUUGCAAGAUUCUACAAGUAUGAUGGGCAUAGUAGGUUGUUUUGUAAAGAGGUGGAUCCUCUUGAAUUUGUUGCACUUGUUUUGUUGCUUUGCAACCUUGAUCAUGUUUGUGAGUGCACCUGUAAUAGUUCCUGCAAAGCAUAUAUAAAUAAAUAUAUAUUCCCAUAGUGAAAAUUAAUUAAUUUGAAAAUCAAUAAUUAACAUGAUAAUUUGUUCAAAUAGUGAAGUUUGUGCUUAAUUAAACUCGUAAAAAUAUAUAUACCUUGGAAAAUCGGUGUGCAAGAUCUUUUUUUGCCCAUACUUUCUCCAUUGAUGACCAUCUUCCACAGGACGAUCAGACUCCUUCUCCCAUGUUUGUGAAACUUUUCUGAAAAAUAAUUACAUAAUUGGAUAAGUUUUCUAAUUGUACCAAAAAAACUCAAAACCAAGUAGGACUAUGAAACAAUCAAAUAAUUUUACUGUGUCAGCCAAAACCAUAAUAACUAGAGGAAACAACAAAAUAAAUAAAAAUGAGAGGGCAUAAUUACAACCUAGUCCUUUCAUCACAUGUAGUGGAUAUGAUGACAAUGAUGAUGAACAAUAAUUGAUAGUGUCCAAUAUUACUCAUAUAUGUAAAGGACAACCAAUAAUAAGUACUAUUAAUUAGAAAUUAUAAUCGCUAAUCAUGCUAAAGAACAAACUACACAUUACCUCAUCUAAAAGUUCAAAUAAAAUUGAAAUUAUAUAACUCAAGAAAUAAGAGAAGAAAAAUAAAAUUAAAAAAUCAGCUAAAAUAAAAUACUUUCCGAAGAGAAAAAAAGAAAGAAAAACACUAUAUAUAUUAAAACUAUGUAUAUAGCUAGAUAUGUUGGGAGAGAUCCAUGAAUAGUGUGUUUGAAAAACCAUAGGUUAAAAUACCUUCUUUUGUAACAGCCUCUACGUUCCUUAACAAUGGAAGUACUCUUGCAAUUACUCUCUAAAGAAUCCUCAGAUUUGGUGAGUUGCAUAUCAGAGCCUUCUGAAGUAGGAUUAUUGUUCAAGAACAAUAGGGAAUUAGUAAAGGUUGUAAGCACUUCCUUUAAAAGAUCUUCAGCAAAUGGUGUUGUUGAUCCAUUAAUAUCAUCAAAAUCACCACUUUCAUUCAGAAUAUUUUUUAGUUGGUUUGCAAGUUCACGCCCUCUUCGUAAUUCAUCAAUUACUUUUCCACGACCACUACCAUGAGCUAGAUUUUCAUUUUUCAUUUUUGGUAUUGAAAUCUUGGGAAGCUAGAUAUUGGUUUACUUUGUCACACUAGAUUUUUUUUUCUCUAUCUCAAAGAAUACACAUAAACACUGAGCUCUUAUAUAAUAUAUAUAUAUAUAGAGAGGUGAGUGUAGUGUGGAUGUGUAAUAUGCCUUUGCACAUGCAUAGAAGUUUGGAGGAACCUUGGCAUGAAAUUUCCAACCCAUUUUAACAAGAAACUUAGCUUCAAACGCGCGACAUGAAAGCGUGAUAUACACAACGGUUUAGGAUGUAUUAUAUGAAACGUGUAUGGCUUUGGAUCCUCGCGUGAAACAUUGAAUGGAGGAUAGCGCGUGGGUAACAAAUGCUUACGGAGAAGUGGUGACGUCAUCAAAAAGUAGUGUGAUACGUCAUGAACAGGUGGCGUGUUUUGAUUGGUUACCAGGCGAGUAACAGUCGCCAAUGUUUUUGGCUGGUGUGGAAAUGAAAACGUCUAUUUUGCCCCUGGAAUAUUUUACCCCUGAAAUUGGAUUUUUUGCGAAUAUAGAAGAAACCUUGAGGUACGGACAAGAAGAGGGUCGUUUGCAAAGUUGGGUGCCCUACAAUACAUAAGCUUGGAUAAGGUUCAAAAUGGGGCAUCUAUUCAAUGUUGUUAUAAAUUUAAAACAACAAAAUAGGUAUACCAGAAGAAAUUAAAAUUAAAAAAAGAUUCGCAUAUGUUUUAAAAUAGACUAUACAAAUUUAUUUUCACAUAUAGGCUCGGGCCACUACAUUUUUUUUUAUCGGAAUUUGAACCUCGAACCUAUAUUAUGUAUUUUCUCUACCAACUGAGCUAAGCUCACGAGAAUCAGGCCCGACCUUGAGGGUGUGUAAGGUGCUCAACCAGGCCCGGCCUUCAAAUGCUACGGGCCUCUAACGAAAAAUUAAAUUUAAUACCCACCCCACACUUAAAUAAAAGGCUUAAUUGCACUUUUGGACCCCUAUCUUUCCAAAAGUUGCGGUUAUGGACCCCUAACUAAUUUAAAUACAAAGCAGCCGCCUAUGUUUUGAUUCUUUGACAGUUUUGAACCCCCAGUACAGUGUUGACUCGGUCAACGUUGACGUGGCACCCUAAGUGAGGUGCCACGUGUCAAAUUUUUUAUUUUUAUUUUGCCUUGGGGGGCCAAGGCAAAAUAUUUUGUAGGUACUCUUUAAACUCUGAGGUAUUUCAUAUCUUCGAUUGGGACAUCAUUCAUUCACACUAAAUUUUAAUAUUUAAAAAUAUUAAAUCAAAUGUUUAUACUUAAUGAACUAUGUUAAAGAAGUUAUUCCCAUGAGAGGUUGAGAUUUGAACCUUGAAUUCAUCACUUAUUCACUUUAAUGAUGAAUUUCUAAUCCAUGAACUAUUUGACCAAAAUAAUAAAAAUAAAAAACGCAGUUAUAACAUUCUUAACAUUUUAAUUCUUAUGUUGUCCCUUCAAACCAAUUCACCCAUCUAAUGAAUGGGUCAUAGUAAUUUAUAAUUUGGUAUAAAGGUAAAUAAAGUCUAGCUAAAUGAUUGUCAUACCCCAAAUUUGGCCCGUUUAAAAUUUUUUUUACUCGUUUUCUUUUACCAUUUAAAACUCAUUUAUUUGUCAUUUUUACUUUUCAUUUUUUGUUUUGUUUAUUAUUAUGUCAUUUUUUUUUAUUUUUUCUUUGAAAAAAAAAAGAGAAAAAAAAAAAACAACAAAGAAAGGGGAGUCACUCACGUGACCCUUCCCUCUUUUCUUUCCUCCUUUCUUUUAUUUUAUUAUUAUUAUUAUUAUUAUCUUUUAUUUGUUAAACUUUGUCUCCAAGUUUUCAGCAGGGGCAUUUUUGGUAUUAGUUCUGUGCCUGAGCCAACCCUAGUUUGUCUCUAUAAAUACACUGUCAAUCAUUGGGAAAUGGGUCCGAAAUUACUGUUCAUGAGUCAGAGAAUUCUGCAGUCACCAAUCACCAUCAGAAACACCUUUCAUUUUCUCUUUCUUCCCUUUUUCAAAUCAGAUACACAAAAUUCACAAAGUUCAUCAUGAACAUCGUAUGAACAUGAUGAACACAGAUUUUUCCAGUAACAAAUUCCAGACUCAAAAUCAUCAAACAACAACAUUAUUUUCGUGAAUCCUACACCAGCAAUUUAUUUUCUUUCGAAAUCCAACAAACACAAAGAAUCACGAAAUCAAAGUAUAGAAGAAGGAGGAAACCGAACCGGAUUCAAGCAAGAGGAGGAGAACGAACCGGAUGCAAGCAAGAGGAAGGAGAACCGCGACGGAUUCAACUUGAGGUAAAAAUCUAAACUCAGAUCUACUCCUUUUGGGACUUGUUUUCAAAAAUCUAAGUUCGGAUUCAUGUAAAGCAGGAAAAAGGAUCUUUAAAAACGUAAAAAAAAUUUCGAACGGAGGUGUUUUGAUUCUCCGGCGCGGCGGCGCCGCCUGUUGGCCGGCGGCCACCACGCCGGAAACGGACCAGCUCGCCGGAGAAGAAGGCUGCACUUGCAGACCUUCUCUCACUAAAAAUGUUUUAGAGAGAGGGAGGAAGGAGGAAAUGAGAAAAAACCGGUCCAAAACUCCUUUUAUAAGCAUGUGUGAUCCGGUCUGGUUCAUCUGAACCGGACCGGUCCAUCUGAUUCCUCUUUCCCUUCUUUCUGAAUCAUUAGAUCUUUCCUCCUCUUUUAAUCUAACGGUCCUGUAUGUGUGAUCCAUGGUGAUACCUUGUACAUCUUCAGAUCUAGACUGAUUGAUCUUUAAUCUAACGGUCAGGGAUGAUUCUGUUUAGAUCACACGCGUGUUCUUUGUUUACAGUCUUCCGUGUUCUGUUUGUUUAACCGUUGGAUCUUAGAUCCUAUGGCUGUGAGGAGAUCUUGGGAUUCAGAUCUGGACCUCUGGAUUCAUCCAACGGUCCAGAUUAGAUCCUGCUGAGCCAAUUUUGUUUUUUUUUAAUUAAUUGUUCUUUAUCAUUUUUUAAUUCUUUUUGCACUUUUUUUUGACAUUUUAAUGCUUUUAAAAAUUCCAAAAAUAUUGUUCUUAUUAUCUUAAUUUUCUCUAAUUUUUUUUAAAACCCAUCCCAUUUGUUUUCUUUUAAAAUUUUCUAUUUAUUUCUUAUAUGAUGAUCUUAAUUGUUGCUUGUCUUUAUUCCUUGCUUUUUUAUUUCUUAUGUCUCAUUCAUCAUAAUAUUUCUUGUGAUUACUAACUAUUUAUUUAUUUAUUUUUUUUGUCUUGAAUCAUAGCAUGCACAUUUAAUUUUCCCAUUAUUUUAUUUUGUCAUUGACUUAGUGUGUAUAAAUAGGAAAUUGGUGUAAUUUUAUUUCUUGCAUUUUUAUUUUGGCAUAAAGGCCUUAGGGUCGUAUUUAGGAAUUGAUGUAAUAAUGUAGGUAACACAAGCACCGACACAUGCACCGACACUACCACGUUUUAUUUACCGCUUUCCGUUAGUUUUUACGACGUUACGUUAGUUUUCACCGUUAGUUUAGAAAAAAUCAUUUUCUCAAAAAGUCAAAUAUGCAAAACUUCAAAAAUCAUUUUCUUAAUAACAUUUUUCCUUUAUUUUUCUUAAUCAAACUCUCAAUCAAUUUUAAUUCAACUUCAAUCAUUUUCAAAAUUUAAAAUCAAUUAACCUCACUCAUUUCUUUUAUCUCAUGCCUUGAGGCCUCUUUCUCUUCUUAAAACCCAUUUCGAAAAAUCUUAAAAUCAACCUAACCCACUAAAGAAAUUUUUGAGUGGAACUACGUCGGUUUUGAUCCCUUUCCCAAAAAGGGUACGUAGGCAGAGGACUUGUCCUUCCAAAUCAAAUAAAAAUAACCAAAAACAUAAUUCUUCUCUCUCCAUUCUUUUACUUAGAUUUUUUAGGUAAUAAUUUUUCGAGUAAGCAAAAUGAAUUUAGCACAAGAUAAUCUAGGUAAGCGGUUCCUUCGGAGUACCGAAGUCGUUUAGGGUGCUUAACACCUUCCCUAUUCGAAACCAACCCCCGAAUCCAAAGUCUCGAUAAGGGUUUUUACUCAUUUUUUCCCUUCCCAUGAAUAAAAAUUGAGAGUUCAAAGAUUGACGAUUCAAAUCAAGUAAAUGGUUUGAUAUCCGAAAAUCGGGGAGCACAGAAUGGCGACUUCACUGGGGACUUAGUCUUACGCGGGUUAAACCCACCUUACUUGUUUUUUUACUUGUGCUUUAUUAUUUCUUAUGCCUUGUAAAUACAUGCCUAAAUGCUAUUGCUUUCACGUGAGUGGUGAGAUAAAGCUCCACACCCGAGCUUGAGGGAAAUAUAAGAUAGGAGUGGUAGACUCAUAGUGGCAUACCGAGAGUAUACUCGUGUCUUGUCACACGUGAGAUAACCACACUUAGCAAAGGAGCUUGAAGUAAUAUAUGUCGACGUGUGUUUUCACGUUUUAGACUUUAUUACUCUUAAGUUUCCAAUGAGGCUAAGAACCUUUUAGUAACCCUUAACCCAUCUUGGCCUUUUAGGAUGUAGUGCAGUGGCUAACCGAGUGUUUUCUCGGAAUUAGUCGACACGCGAUACUACACUCAAAGGAGACUUUCCUACGAACGUUGUUGGACCGGGUGUUUUCUCGGUAUCCGAUAAUAUUCGGAAGUGGUCAAUGACUUUGGGAACCUCGGUAGAACCGUUGUUACAAGUGCAAUUUAAACCAUAGUCCUUACCAAAUGGCGUUGUUACCCUUGGCUCCAACAUUGUGGGACUUAACCUCACCAUGUAUUCUAUGUAUAUGUACUUUAACAUAACCAUGCAUACAUGCAUUCAUUCAUGAAUAACUUUUUCCAUCAAAAAUUGAAGGACUUAGAUAAAUUUUUGUAAACAUCACGGAUAUGGACCUUGUAAGAAUGAACACCAAGAGAUACAGCUUCAAAAUCUUAACUAAGCUUUAACUUUUGUUAAGAACUCUUUCCUUGGUUUCGUUCUUACCUUUUGAAAAAGGAACCUAUUGCAAUAUCUUUAAAAUUUUCAAAUGAAACCAUGUUCCUCUACUGUGUUUACAUAUCAUCCAUCACUUUGCAUUCAUAGUUUCUAGUCCAUGUCUCAUAUUUUGUUUUUACCUACAAGAGGUCAAUCCAACAGUAAAGGGGUCAGAUGUCGUCAUCCAAGUUCGGCUCGCAUAUGCAGACACUCGUGCAAACAGGAAACAUGGAUCAGCUUGAGCAAGAAGUCCAGGAGCUUCGUGGAGAGGUAACAACACUUCGGGCUGAGGUAGAGAAGUUAGCUAGCCUAGUAUCCUCAUUGAUGGCUACAAACGAUCCACCGCUUGUCCAACAAAGGCCUCAAUCACCAUAUCAGCCAAUGUGCCCUCAAAAGCCUCGACAACAGGCUCCUCGGCAGUCUAUCCCUCAGAAUCAGGUUCCUCAGAAGUUCAUUCCGCAAAAUCAGGUCCAAAAAGCAUCUCAGUGUGACCCGAUUCCUAUGAAAUAUGCGGAUUUGCUUCCCAUUUUGCUUAAGAAGAACCUUGUUCAAACCCUACCACUUCCUCGGGUGCCGAAUUCGCUGCCACCUUGGUAUCGCCCUGACCUCAACUGUGUAUUCCAUCAAGGGGCACCAGGUCAUGACACUGAGCAGUGCUACCCUUUGAAAGAAGAAGUUCAGAAGUUGAUUGAAAAUAACGUCUGGUCCUUCGAUGACCAAGAUAUAAAAGUGCUACUUCAACAACAACAUCUGGCUCCUCACUCUGUUGCCGCUGUUAGACCCAUCACCAAUGUUGUUCAAGAUCCGGGUUAUCAACCCCAGUUUCGACCAAGUCAACAACAGUAUCCGGAUUCUCACUUUGUUACCACUAUUUUGCCCAUCAUGAAUGUUGUCCGCAAUCCGGGUUAUCAGCCCCAGUUUCAGCAAUAUCAACAACAGCCUCGACAACAGGCUCCAAGAAUUAAAUUUGAUCCGAUUCCAAUGAAAUAUGGGGAGUUGUUUCCCUAUUUGCUUGAGAGGAACCUUGUCCAGACUAGGCCACCUCCUCCAAUACCGAAGAAAUUGCCGGCUCGAUGGAGACCUGAUCUCUUUUGUGUUUUCCAUCAAGGGGCACAAGGUCAUGAUGUUGAGCGCUGUUUUUCUUUAAAGAUUGAAGUCCAGAAACUGAUCGAAGACGAUCUCAUACCUUUCGAAGAGUUUGGAUCUGAAUGUGCAAGUUAACCUGCUAUCGGAUUUUUGGACCUUGUGUUGACAUGUGGAGUGUUUAGCUACAAUUGGGCCUUUGCUAAUGUUUAUUUCUACUACUCUUUUGUUCAAUUAAUAUGUUUGUUUGUGGCUUUAUGUUUUUUUUAAAAUAUAAAAAAAAUCCUUUCGUCCCACCCGAGACGGAAGUGAACUUGUUUAGGGCUUUUUGCUGUAUCUAUUUUCAUCAUUAAUGAAAAGGCCGUCUUGGUCCCGACCUUCUUUUAUUUUGUGCUUUUUCUGGAAAAAUGGUAAUACAAAAAAUCAAAAAAAUUCUUUUUCUUUAAUCAUUUCCACAUAUCUGCAUAAUCAUAAUAUUUAUAUCAAUAAUCAAAUCAUGCAUUAAUAAACCCGUUGAACACUUAAACCUUGUACUCUCGCUCGACUUUGAGUUCCUUGUGUAUGAGGCUGAAGAAGAGGAUGAUGAAGAAACUUCCACUAAGAUUUCUCUCCUACUGGGGCAUCUUGGCCAUAGAAGCAGCAAAUAUCAAGAAAGAUUGUCCAAAAGAGGACUUUCAUGUACAAAGACUGGCACGAGAUGCUACCAUUUGUCUUGCAAGGAUAUUAUACUUCAAGUGCACACUUCAACAUGGGCAACCCACCCUCCAUCCCUCUGUAUAAAACAUAAACGCAGUGCCUCACAUGGAGGUCAAAGUCCCGUCAACGGGAGUUCCAAUGAAAGCUAAGCUUGAUUGAAUUUAAAAGUGUUACUGCCAUAUGGCGUGGACAGUUGUAUCAAAAGCAUGAAGCAAGUUUUCAACAAGAGAAGGCUCGUCCCCAUGAAUGUCAAGAGAGUGGCCUUGUGCUCAAAAGUUAUACUAUCUGAUUUAACCAAGUUCCAGGGGCAAUGAAUGCCUAAUACAAAGAAUGAGGGUAAACUUGUAUGUCCUGUGAAUACCGAUGCAGUCAAGAAAUACUUUGUUAAAAUGAAAAAGCUCGAUAAGUCGCAAACCUGAAAAGGCGGCUUAGGCAAAAAAAAAAAGAGCGUCUCGAUGGACUGAAAACCCAAAAGGGCGGUCCAUGCAAAAGUUAGAGACAUAUAUAAAAAAAAAAAUGAAAAAAUGAUGAUUAUCCUGAUAGGUUGAUACCCGCAAGGGCGAUCUAUGCAAAAGUUAAGGAUCAUGACAAAGUAACUGCAUCUGGUCGGACAUGACUCAUCUAGGGCAUUUCAGCCGUCAAAAGACUUCCGACUCAUGGUAAGGUAACUGCAUCUGGUCGGACAUGACUCAUCUAGGGCAUUUCAGCCGUCAAAAGACCUCCGACUCAUGGCAAGGUAACUACAUCAAAUCAGAUAUGAUUCAUCUGGGGCAUUUCAGCCGUCAAAAGACCUUCGACUCAUGGCAAGGUAAUUGCAUCAAAUCAGAUAUCAUUCAUCUGGGGCAUCUUAGCUGUUAAAGGGUUUCCGAUCUGAAGCGUCUGCAAAUCAAAGACUCAGAACAGUGAAAUUCAAAGUUGGUAGAGGAAACAGUGGUUAUUGUGUUCAAUGUACCCUUUCCAUUUAAUUACCAUUUUCCAAACUUUUAAAAUCCGUGGAACCACGCCUUUGGCAGGCCACCACUCCAUUUACAUUAACUUGAGCUUGUGCCCAUUUAUUUGAAAUUCUCAUUUAUUCUGUUUGCAAACUUUUCUUCUAUUUUUGAUGUUAAUACCUAAAGCAAAAAAAAAAUCUUUAAAAAAAAAAAAAAAAAAAAAAAAACUUUUAUCGUGCCUUCUGAAAAGCAUAAACAACAGGUACAUCUUCUUUGAACUUAUGAGCAGGUGAAACAUACAUCAACAUCCGUCUCAAGGACAGUUAAACUCUGCAAGGUUGGCAUGACUAAAAGCUGUGAGAUGACCUCUGUAAAAAAAAAAGGGUACAAAAAAAAAAAAAAAAAAAAAAAAAAAAAAGCUCGCUAAGUCGAAAACCCGAAAGGGCGGUUUAAGCCAAAAAUGAGCGUCCCGAUGGACUGAAAACCCGAAAGGGCGGUCCAGGCAAAAAUUAGGGGCAUACAAACAAAAAGAAUAUAUUCCCGAUGGAUUGAAGACCCGAAAGGGCGGUCCAGGCAAAAGUUAGGGAUUCAAAAAAAAAAUAUACAAAGAAAUGAAAAAAGACAGAGGCAUCACAGUUCAAGUUGGCCAAAUGGAAGAAUGCACUUUGUGUUGGCUUACAGAAUGGCGACCUCUGCCAGAUUUAUUAAUUGAUGGGCUUUAUCCCGAAAAAUUGCAACUUCUGCCUGUGGUUUGAUUGAUGGCAACUUCUGCAUGUGAUUUGAUUGAUGGCGACCCCUGCCAGAAUGGUUGAUUGAUGGGUUUCAUCCCGAUAAAUGGCGACUUCUACCCCAGUUUUUGAUCAUGAGGACUUACCCCAGCAGUAUGUUUAAGGGGCGGUACCCCAACAUUGGUUGAUCCAUCUCCCGUGACUUUAUCCCCAGUGAAGGCUUUGAGUGUUCGUACAGUGAUGCGGGGCUAUUCUCCUUGUAGACCUGCCUAGUCCUGUCUCAACAAUCUUACCAUUAUACCGUCAUAUGAGUCUCAUACAUAUUCAUUCAUUCAUGCAUACAAAGCACGCAUAUAAAUAUCAUCCAUACAUAGUUGCAUUUUUACCCAAUAUUUUGCUUCGUUAUCCUCAAAACGUGUCUAAACUCAGGUAUGUUAUAAAACCAAUCAUGUUUCAAAGUGGCAGGUCUCACCAGUAAUCAGUCUAUACAUACAUACAAUUCCCCUUUAGCUUCAUACAAAUUCUUUUUCCCCUAAGCUUUACCCUUAUCAAGUUACUCCUCAUUGAUACCAAGCUCUACAUUGUCUUUACUUUCACCGGAGGCUUUGCUUUUAGCAAAUGCUAAUGGUCCGUCCUGCCUUUAUUUUUACCGUGUGUUUGCUAUCCCACAAUGUUAGCAAACCCUGUCGGUCCGUCUUGUCUUUACUUUCACCGGAGGCUUUGCUUUUAGCAAAUGCUAAUGGUCCGUCUUGCCUUUAUCUUUUACCAUGUGUUUGCUAUCCCCCAAUGUUAGCAAACCCUGUUGGUCUGUCUUGCCUUUAUUUUUACCGUGUGUUUGCUAUCCCACAAUGUUAGCAAACCCUGUCGGUCCGUCUUGUCUUUACUUUCACCGGAGGCUUUGCUUUUAGCAAAUGCUAAUGGUCCGUCUUGCCUUUAUCUUUUACCGUGUGUUUGCUAUCCCACAAUGUUAGCAAACCCUGUCGGUCCAUCAUGUCUUUACUUUCGCCACUCGUCGGCAAAUCAUGUCUUUACUUUCGCCACACGUCGGCAAUCAAAUCAUGUCUUUACUUUCGCCACUCGUCGGCAAAUCAUGUCUUUACUUUCGCCACUCGUCGGCAAUCAAAUCAUGUCUUUACUUUCGCCACUCGUCGGCAAUCAAAUCAUGUCUUUACUUUCGCCACUCGUCGGCAAAUCAUGUCUUUACUUUCGCCACUCGUCGGCAAAUCAUGUCUUUACUUUCGCCACUCGUCGGCAAAUCAUGUCUUUACUUUCGCCACACGUCGGCAAAUCAUUUCUUUACUUUCGCCACUCGUCGGCAGUCAUGUCUUUACUUUCGCCACUCGUCGGCAAUCAUGUCUUUACUUUCGCCACACGUCGGCCAAUCAUGUCUUUACUUUCGCCACUCGUCGGCCAAUCAUGUCUUUACUUUCGCCACUCGUCGGCAAUCAAAUCAUGUCUUUACUUUCGCCACUCGUCGGCAAAUCAUGUCUUUACUUUCGCCACUCGUCGGCAAAUCAUGUCUUUACUUUCGCCACUCGUCGGCAAAUCAUGUCUUUACUUUCGCCACACGUCGGCAAAUCAUUUCUUUACUUUCGCCACUCGUCGGCAGUCAUGUCUUUACUUUCGCCACUCGUCGGCAAUCAUGUCUUUACUUUCGCCACACGUCGGCCAAUCAUGUCUUUACUUUCGCCACUCGUCGGCCAAUCAUGUCUUUACUUUCGCCACUCGUCGGCAAUCAAAUCAUGUCUUUACUUUCGCCACUCGUCGGCAAAUCAUGUCUUUACUUUCGCCACUCGUCCGCAAAUCCAGUUUUUACUUUCGCCACUCGUCUGCAAAUCAUGUCUUUACUUUCGCCACUCGUCGGCCAAGCAUGUCGUUACUUUCACCAUCGUCUAAACCAUGUCCUUACCUUUACAAUGGAAACAAUGUUAACAAACAUUAUGAUUCAUACUCCAGUCGUUUCAAGCUAUCUCACAGCAAUCUUAAGCAUUACCUAUCAUUUCUUUCCCCAGUGAUAUUUAUCCAAUUGUCCCCCAAUCAGUCUUUUAUGCAUCAUCUUUACAUUCAUGCUUGUAUCAUGUGCAGUCAUAUCAUCACAGUCAUCAGCAUUGCAUAUCUGGCAUUUCAAACGGUCCAAAAUUGGCGUCUUUUUAUAUUUAAGUCUCUUCGACCCUUUGGUUUAAAAGUUUUCCCUUUUAAAACCUUCGUGACGAAGAAACUUAAAUAGGGGCAUCUGUCAUACCCCAAAUUUGGCCCGUUUAAAAUUUUUUUUACUCGUUUUCUUUUACCAUUUAAAACUCAUUUAUUUGUCAUUUUUACUUUUCAUUUUUUGUUUUGUUUAUUAUUAUGUCAUUUUUUUUUAUUUUUCUUUGAAAAAAAAAAGAGAAAAAAAAAAAACAACAAAGAAAGGGGAGUCACUCACGUGACCCUUCCCUCUUUUCUUUCCUCCUUUCUUUUAUUUUAUUAUUAUUAUUAUUAUUAUCUUUUAUUUGUUAAACUUUGUCUCCAAGUUUUCAGCAGGGGCAUUUUUGGUAUUAGUUCUGUGCCUGAGCCAACCCUAGUUUGUCUCUAUAAAUACACUGUCAAUCAUUGGGAAAUGGGUCCGAAAUUACUGUUCAUGAGUCAGAGAAUUCUGCAGUCACCAAUCACCAUCAGAAACACCUUUCAUUUUCUCUUUCUUCCCUUUUUCAAAUCAGAUACACAAAAUUCACAAAGUUCAUCAUGAACAUCGUAUGAACAUGAUGAACACAGAUUUUUCCAGUAACAAAUUCCAGACUCAAAAUCAUCAAACAACAACAUUAUUUUCGUGAAUCCUACACCAGCAAUUUAUUUUCUUUCGAAAUCCAACAAACACAAAGAAUCACGAAAUCAAAGUAUAGAAGAAGGAGGAAACCGAACCGGAUUCAAGCAAGAGGAGGAGAACGAACCGGAUGCAAGCAAGAGGAAGGAGAACCGCGACGGAUUCAACUUGAGGUAAAAAUCUAAACUCAGAUCUACUCCUUUUGGGACUUGUUUUCAAAAAUCUAAGUUCGGAUUCAUGUAAAGCAGGAAAAAGGAUCUUUAAAAACGUAAAAAAAUUUUCGAACGGAGGUGUUUUGAUUCUCCGGCGCGGCGGCGCCGCCUGUUGGCCGGCGGCCACCACGCCGGAAACGGACCAGCUCGCCGGAGAAGAAGGCUGCACUUGCAGACCUUCUCUCACUAAAAAUGUUUUAGAGAGAGGGAGGAAGGAGGAAAUGAGAAAAAACCGGUCCAAAACUCCUUUUAUAAGCAUGUGUGAUCCGGUCUGGUUCAUCUGAACCGGACCGGUCCAUCUGAUUCCUCUUUCCCUUCUUUCUGAAUCAUUAGAUCUUUCCUCCUCUUUUAAUCUAACGGUCCUGUAUGUGUGAUCCAUGGUGAUACCUUGUACAUCUUCAAAUCUAGACUGAUUGAUCUUUAAUCUAACGGUCAGGGAUGAUUCUGUUUAGAUCACACGCGUGUUCUUUGUUUACAGUCUUCCGUGUUCUGUUUGUUUAACCGUUGGAUCUUAGAUCCUAUGGCUGUGAGGAGAUCUUGGGAUUCAGAUCUGGACCUCUGGAUUCAUCCAACGGUCCAGAUUAGAUCCUGCUGAGCCAAUUUUAUUUUUUUUUAAUUAAUUGUUCUUUAUCAUUUUUUAAUACUUUUUACACUUUUUUUUGACAUUUUAAUGCUUUUAAAAAUUCCAAAAAUAUUGUUCUUAUUAUCUUAAUUUUCUCUAAUUUUUUUUAAAACCCAUCCCAUUUGUUUUCUUUUAAAAUUUUCUAUUUAUUUCUUAUAUGAUGAUCUUAAUUGUUGCUUGUCUUUAUUCCUUGCUUUUUUAUUUCUUAUGUCUCAUUCAUCAUAAUAUUUCUUGUGAUUACUAACUAUUUAUUUAUUUAUUUUUUUUGUCUUGAAUCAUAGCAUGCACAUUUAAUUUUCCCAUUAUUUUAUUUUGUCAUUGACUUAGUGUGUAUAAAUAGGAAAUUGGUGUAAUUUUAUUUCUUGCAUUUUUAUUUUGGCAUAAAGGCCUUAGGGUCGUAUUUAGGAAUUGAUGUAAUAAUGUAGGUAACACAAGCACCGACACAUGCACCGACACUACCACGUUUUAUUUACCGCUUUCCGUUAGUUUUUACGACGUUACGUUAGUUUUCACCGUUAGUUUAGAAAAAAUCAUUUUCUCAAAAAGUCAAAUAUGCAAAACUUCAAAAAUCAUUUUCUUAAUAACAUUUUUCCUUUAUUUUUCUUAAUCAAACUCUCAAUCAAUUUUAAUUCAACUUCAAUCAUUUUCAAAAUUUAAAAUCAAUUAACCUCACUCAUUUCUUUUAUCUCAUGCCUUGAGGCCUCUUUCUCUUCUUAAAACCCAUUUCGAAAAAUCUUAAAAUCAACCUAACCCACUAAAGAAAUUUUUGAGUGGAACUACGUCGGUUUUGAUCCCUUUCCCAAAAAGGGUACGUAGGCAGAGGACUUGUCCUUCCAAAUCAAAUAAAAAUAACCAAAAACAUAAUUCUUCUCUCUCCAUUCUUUUACUUAGAUUUUUUAGGUAAUAAUUUUUCGAGUAAGCAAAAUGAAUUUAGCACAAGAUAAUCUAGGUAAGCGGUUCCUUCGGAGUACCGAAGUCGUUUAGGGUGCUUAACACCUUCCCUAUUCGAAACCAACCCCCGAAUCCAAAGUCUCGAUAAGGGUUUUUACUCAUUUUUUCUCUUCCCAUGAAUAAAAAUUGAGAGUUCAAAGAUUGACGAUUCAAAUCAAGUAAAUGGUUUGAUAUCCGAAAAUCGGGGAGCACAAUGAUCAUUUCACUCGAGAUUUAAAUUUGAAUUAUUUUCGACAAUUUGUUCUUAACUCAAUUUUAUCGACCGCUUACGACCACGUUAAUUUUAUAUAAUCAAUUUUCAACAACCACAACCAAGUAUGUAUGUGUAUGUGUCGAUGUUACAACAACUACAACCAAGUAUUAUCUCACUAAAUGAGGUUAGUUACAUGGAUCAAGUUUGGCUAUAAUGUUCUAUCAUAAAUUGUAUAUUGAUCCAACACAUUAAACUACCUUUCUUGGAUAAUGAAGAAACCAAAUCAUUCGAUCAAGGAAAUGUUAAAUGAGCAUAUUAUUGGAUAAUGCAUUAUAACAUUAUCUUUGAGAAACUCACUUGGGUUGACAUGAUGGUAUUGACUUGGGACCAGAGAGUGUGCUCCUCCUCAAGGUUUCGAUUCUCCUCGGUUUCAAUUUAGGUGGGAUAAUUUAACUUCUUCAAAAAACAUUAUAUUUGGGGCUGAAAAACUUCUUUUUUCUAAUGAAAAAAAUGAUUGAUUGUGAAGACUGGGAUCGGCCAUGUAUACCCAAACCUGUUAGGUACAUAGAUGAAAUUCAAUUCCUUAUCCCUAUUGGAUAUGUGUAACGGGUGAGUAUAUAGGUGUCAGAAAUAGAGAUAAGAGAUAAAACUCGUCCCCACUCCGCGCUAUUGUCAUGCUUAACAACGGCACGAUGAAAAAAGGUGGCACAUUGAAGAAGAGUAAAGGCUUUCUCACAUAAGGAAUCUUGGUAGAUGUGUAUCUCACUCAAAAGAGGAAUUAAUGCACAGUUAAAGAUAUUUGUGUUCAUCAAAGACGUUAACAAAAUGAUUCAAAUGUUAAAAAAGGUUUGGUUUGACACUUAUAAAACAUGAGGAUGAUGUAUUCAAUAGAGGGGAGGAGUGUAAGAAACAUGAAGAUGACAAGAAGAGUAUAGUCGAUCUCAAAGAAUUUUGUUUUCUAGAGGAAUAAAGAAGACCACAUCGGCUAAGGAAAAGGAUAUUGAAGGUGUGCUGUUUGAAAAACCCACUCAAAAAAAAAAAAAUGGUAAAACAUCUUAAACCUUUGUUCAUCAAAGCUUAUAUCAACGGAGAAAAAAUUAGCCGCUUCUAACCCUAAGAGCUAGGCAAAAAAAUAGAAGAGUUGAUCCCUACCAACAUAAAAAUUUCUAGCUUCGUGGGGGUAGCAUCUAAUGCACUAGUGGCAUUAAGUGAUGAUGUGGUAGCGGGACCAAAGGAUGUGAGAUUCACUUUCUUUGUUAUAGACGGCAAACCUUCAUAUUCUAUUAUUCUUGGCUGAGACCGGAUACAUACCAGUGAAUGUGUAACUUCUACACUUCACCAAAAGCUCACGUGUUGAGUAGACGAUAAAGUUGAAAUUGUGAAAGUUGACACAAACUCUUUAUCAACAGAGGUAAAAUUAUUCGAAGCUUUAUUUUAAUCGCCUCACCUAAAUCCUAUCGGUAUUCCUGAGGAACAUGAAGAAGGAGAAUUUGAAUGAUACAACCUCUAAUGAAGGUUUCCAACUAAAUGCUUAGGCCAACUAAAUUUAGAAGUCUAAGUGAAACUUUAAAAAAGAAAAAAAAUUAAAGGAUAAAAUAUAAUUUAAUCUUUCAAACAUAAGAAAUGUAAAAUAUCACAAUUUCCUUUUCUUUUUUCUACAUUAGGCAUGUAAUGAUUAUUGAUGGAGGAACAGGUCUGGCCAUUGUAUUAUUUUGCACGCUCUAAAGAUCUCACACACAUUCACAAACAAACUUUCUUAAUCACCUUUUUUCUGAUUUGUACUAUCUAUAGCCCACUCACCAUAAAACAACAAAACAUGAAAACACCAACACAUCAGUACAAGACAACCCUUAUAUUCCAUGCAAUGAAACAUUGAACCUAUCCAUAUAACCUCGGAUUAGGAUUUCAUGCUGUAAAUAUCACACGCAGUUGCACGCUGUAGUACAUCUCAGCCGUAAAUAUAAAAUUGGUCGGUCUAGAUUUUAAUCAUAGUUUCGCAUAAUAAAAUGAUUUCAGCCAUUAAUUUAAAACUCAUCAAUGUAGUUUAUUCAAUACUCAUCAAUAUACUCAUAGGUUACUAGUGUACUAUACUACAUGUAAUUAAUCCCUCUGCACACGUUGUUUCUUUAAUUUUGUACAACUCUGCACGUUGCUUUUAUUAUUCACAACUAUACACAUUGCUUUUAUUUUAAAGAAUAAGGCAUUUUCUUCAAUCACAAUGUCAAGCAAAAUAACGACACUUUUUCUUAAUUUGUUGAUAAAAUUAUGUAACAUUUUUUUUAUCAUUCAUUGAAAAUGGGUAAGUACAAAACAUAUUUUACAUAAUUUGAAACUAAACCUAGCUAUUGAUCAUCUUCCACAAUUUUUUAACCACGUUAUUGAUCCAAAUAGCAUUUAUUUUGUCGAUGACGAUGACUAAUCUCAAUCGAAAAUCUGGUUGGUUGGCUACCUUUAAUGGGUCUCAGCUUUCUAUCCGUCAAGUUCAAACCUGAAACCUUGCAUUGAUGAAUUCAAGCAUAGUUUGGAAUUCCGGCCAACAUAAGGUUGUCACAAUUUGCACUACAUUUCUAAAAUUCAUAUUAGAAAAACACACCUCAAUGGAUAGUUCAUUGAUCAAAACUUAGUGAAUAAUCAAAUUUCAAGAAAGAGGCCAAUUAAGGACAUCAUCAUACAUGAUAUCAGAAAUAUGGACACCUAAGUGAUCAUGAGAAUCAAGUGUUGAUGAUAGUGUGACAUCCUUUUCUGGAUCAUCAAAAGUGAGUCCAGAGAGGUAAUCAUUUGAAGAAGGAGGAGGAUGAACAACCUCUUCCUUGCACUCCUCCUUUUUCACUGAGAGAAAAGGACAGUCUUGUUUGGCUGGUGUUGGGAAAGAGUUGUCAAAACUAAGAAACAUGGAAGAGUGAUCAGUAGGAUAAUCU
rnacentral:lncRNA from 1 species